AAUUAUUUAUUUACUUAAAAAUUGAGUAUUAAUAUUUAUUUUUAAAAAAAGUAUUUAUAAAAAUAUAAGUUUUAGUAAUAUAAAUUGAAUUAAUAAUAAUAGUGAUAGUAAAUUAGUAUUGUAAAAGAAUAUAAUUAAUUAUAAAAAAGUAGAUUUAGUUAAUUGUAUCUUGUGUAUCAGAGUUUAUUAAAUAAAAAAUAAAAAUUUAUUUUUCUCGAAUUUAAAAGGGCAAUUAUAUUAUUUAUAAUAAUGUAAAAAAAUUAUAUAAAAUAAUAUAUUAGUAAUGAAAUGUUAUGCGUUUUUAAAUAUAUCUAGUUUUUUUAGAAAUAAAUUUAAUUUAUUAAAUUAAAAUAUUAAUUUUAUUUAUUUAAUAUUAAUAUUUUUAAUUUAAAAUAUUUUUAGGGAUAAGCUUAAAAAUAAAUAAUUAUAAUUAAAUUAUUUAAUAAUAAAUUUAUAGGGUUAUAAAUAUUCAUUAAUUAAAAAAUGUUAUAAUUUAUUUAUUUUAAAUUAAAAAUUUUAAAUAAUUUAAUUUUUUAUAAAAAUAAUUUUAUUAAUAAAAUAUAAAUUGAAAUAAUGAUAGAAUUAGUAUAAUUUAAUGUAAAAUUAAUAAUAAUAGAUAGGUUAUUUUAAGGAAUUCGGCAAAUUUAAUAUUCACCUGUUUAACAAAAACAUGUCUUUUUGAAAUUAAUAGAAAGUCUAAUCUGCCCAUUGAGGUAUUAAAAGGCCGCAGUAUUUUGACUGUGCAAAGGUAGCAUAAUAAUUAGUUUUUUAAUUGGAAGCUGGAAUGAAUGAUUGAAUGAAAUAUUAACUGUCUUAAAUUAAUUGUUUUAGAAUUUAAUUUUUAAGUUAAAAAGCUUAAAUUUUAUUGAAGGACGAGAAGACCCUUUAAAGCUUUAUAUAAAAAUUAAAAUAAUUUAUAAGAAUAAUAUAUUUAUUUUAAUUAAUAUAUUUUAUUGGGGCGAUAGGAAAAUUUAAUUAACUUUUUUUUUAUAGAAACAUUAAUAAAUGAAUAUAUGAUCCAUAAAUUGUGAUUAUAAGAUUAAGUUACUUAAGGGAUAACAGCGUAAUUAUUUUUGAGAGAACUAAUCGACAAAAUAGAUUGCGACCUCGAUGUUGGAUUAAGAUAAUUUUUAGAUGCAGAAGUUUAAAAAUUUGGUCUGUUCGACCAUUUAUUCUUACAUGAUCUGAGUUCAAACCGGUGUAAGCCAGGUUGGUUUCUAUCCUUAAUUAAUCAAAAUUAAUUAGUACGAAAGGACCAUUAAUUUAUAAAAUUUAUUUAUAGAAGAAUAAAAUU
rnacentral:rRNA from 1 species